AUAUCUGCACAGUACUGUACUACACUAUUGAAAAUACAUAAAUAUACCCAGUAUACAUCAUUGCUGCUUUACCGUCUUCAUUCUCUCUUCACACUUUCUAAAGACGGGCAUUACCUCUGGCCAGCGAAGCACAUGCCUUGAAAUGGUACAGCAAAUGGCCUAUGCUCCAACUGAAAAAAAGUACCUGGAUCUGUAUAGGCAGUUUCAAAAUUGUGCUCCUCCAAUUGUGUUGAAGUAUUUUGAUGAUCAGUGGCACCCUAUUAGGAAGCAGUGGACGAUGGGAAUGAAGUAUAGCACAGGGAAUUUCUUUAACAAUAUCAACAAUAGAUUGGAGUCCCUGAAUGCAAAGUUAAAAUCAGUAAUUUCCUGGUACUCAUCACUAGAAACAUUUGUUGACAAGUUCUUUCUUAUUUUACAAGUGCUUCGAUCAGAACAAGACUAUCAAGCAAGUCUGUCUACUCUCAAAGCCCCUGUAACAUACCAUUCUAUCACUGAUGCAGCACCGAUUAACUAAAUGAAGUAUCUUACACCUUAUGCCUACAGAUUUGUUGCCUAACAGAUGGAUAUGAAGACAAAGGUACAGCUCGCAAAUGAUGGCAACCAACAUUACCAUGUUGCAUACAAUAGUAGUCACCCCCGCAACAUGCCAGUGCAUGACUUGGCAGUCAAUGAGGUUGCCUUGUCAUCACAUACUGGCAGCUCGAUCUGAUCUUGGAUUGAACAUGUUCACUGAAGAACUUUUUUGUGACAGAAGAUGGUCUUUGGAUUACUACAAAUCUAACCACAGAGCAUUUUCACCUAUUGCUCAUCAAAGCCCGUCUACAGCAACCAUCGUUAGCUUUGAAACACCAUCAAGAAAAGUACACUCAGUUUGAAAAAUUCCAUCAGGCUUUAAAGAUUGCUACCAAACUUGCUAGUUUAGCUUCAGAAGCAUCAGGAGUCAAUUUCACAAGCAGAUUGAAUGUAAUGAAAGAGUUGGUUUCUGCUUGGGAAAAGGGACAAGAAGUGAAACUGAUCAGUGAUUCAACUGAAGGAGAGAAACAUGAUGAGGCCUUACAACUACUGCUUAAUCUUGACAAACCUUUGACAGCAGAUGAUCAUUCACUAAAAAAUCAGACAAAACAAACUUUGCAAAGAAUAAAGCAGUAUGUACGCCUACUGAAAAUAUCAUUGUUCAGGAGCCAAGAAGUGUUACAGUUAGUGAAUCACAACCACUCUCUCAUCCAUCAGAAACUCUCUCAUCCGAAGCAACUACCUCUAACUAUGACAAACAAAAUUUACAAAAUCUCCAAAGUAUUUUAAUGCCUCUUAUUCUUCGAAAACGUGGCCGUCCAAAAGGCCAUGAAUUGACUGUGAUUGGUUUACCGGCUAAGAAGAAAGCAAAGUCAGGAAAAGUACAACCAUUCAUUAAAUUACACACAUCAUUGAAAGAAGAGUCAUGUUAGCAUGGUUUGUUGAUGACAAUAUAGCAGCUGCUGCACUACAAAAUCCCAAGACGCUGAUCGAUGAAUCAGACAUCAAAGUUUAGCAAGAAAACAUCUCUAAUGCAGUCCUUGAUGACAAUGUUGACUUGCACAUAAUUCGAAAGUUUUUCACCGAUAAUGCCUGGCUACUACUUACAGAUGUUGUCAAGCAGAAACGUAAACAUUGCAGUUAUGUUUGCCAAGUUUGCUUUCACAUCUUGGAUGAGGAAGCAUCAAUUUUGUGUGAUCCAAAUUACGUGAGACUCGGCUUCGGUAGUCAAGCAAUGAACACUUCAAAACUAGGUGCUCCUUCUAUUGAAAACGACUAGACUAGCUAUGCAUGUUCAAGAACGCGUGCGCGUACACUUCGUCACCGCAUCCAUAACAUAAUACGAACGAUAAUGUGACAAUGAACCCAGGACGCACGUUAGCAGGAAUCCGGGAGUAUGGGUCACGUGCACAUUACCGGCACUCCAAGUCCUCCGUAUCCGGGGCCGAUACUGGCUCUCUAGCCACUGCGAUUGUUUUUAGUGUUCGCGCCACUAAUCUACCGCAUCCGGGAACACUGCUCUACCCCGGAUAAUGUAUGUUAUUA